UACGUAGGUGGCAAGCGUUGUCCGGAUUUAUUGGGUUUAAAGGGUGCGUAGGCGGCCCUGUAAGUCAGUGCUGAAAUCCCCCGGCUUAACCGGGGUGGUGGCAUUGAUACUGCAGGGCUUGAGUACAGAUGAGGUAGGCGGAAUUGACGGUGUAGCGGUGAAAUGCAUAGAUAUCGUCAAGAACACCGAUAGCGAAGGCAGCUUACUGGGCUGUAACUGACGCUGAUGCACGAAAGUGUGGGGAUCAAGCAGG
rnacentral:rRNA from 1 species